CUCAGAACGAACGCUGGCGGCAGGCCUAACACAUGCAAGUCGAACGACACAGUGGCAGACGGGUGAGUAACGCGUGGGAACGUGCCCUUCAGUACGGAAUAGCUUCUGGAAACGGAAGGUAAUACCGUAUACGCCCUCCGGGGGAAAGAUUUAUCGCUGAAGGAUCGGCCCGCGUUAGAUUAGCUUGUUGGUGAGGUAAUGGCUCACCAAGGCGACGAUCUAUAGCUGGUCUGAGAGGAUGAUCAGCCACACUGGGACUGAGACACGGCCCAGACUCCUACGGGAGGCAGCAGUGGGGAAUCUUGCACAAUGGGCGAAAGCCUGAUGCAGCCAUGCCGCGUGAAUGAUGAAGGCCCUAGGGUUGUAAAAUUCUUCCAUCAGGGACGAUAAUGACGGUACCUGAAGAAGAAGCCCCGGCUAACUUCGUGCCAGCAGCCGCGGUAAUACGGAGGGGGCUAGCGUUGUUCGGAAUUACUGGGCGUAAAGCGCGCGUAGGCGGACUAUUAAGCCAGAUGUGAAAUCCCGGGGCUCAACCUCGGAACUGCAUUUGGAACUGGUAGUCUAGAGGCCAGGAGAGGUUAGUGGAAUGCCGAGUGUAGAGGUGAAAUUCGUAGAUAUUCGGUGGAACACCAGUGGCGAAGGCGACUGACUGGACUGGUACUGACGCUGAGGUGCGAAAGUGUGGGGAGCAAACAGGAUUAGAUACCCUGGUAGUCCACACCGCAAACGAUGAGUGCUAGUUGUCGGCAGGCAUGCCUGUCGGUGACGCAGCUAACGCAUUAAGCACUCCGNCUGGGGAGUACGGCCGCAAGGUUAAAACUCAAAGAAAUUGACGGGGGCCCGCACAAGCGGUGGAG
rnacentral:rRNA from 1 species